rnacentral:rRNA from 1 species
UACAGAGGGUGCAAGUGUUGUUCGGAAUUAUUGGGCGUAAAGCGCGUGAAGGCGGCUUUGCAAGUCGGGUGUGAAAGCCCUCAGCUUAACUGAGGAAGUGCGCCCGAAACUGCAGAGCUCGAAUACCGGAGAGGAUGGCGGAAUUCCCCAAGUAGAGGUGAAAUUCGUAGAUAUGGGGAGGGACACCGGUGGCGAAGGCGGCCAUCUGGACGGCUAUUGACGCUGAGACGCGAAAGCGUGGGGAGCAAACAGG